CAAGCGGAAUCCCAAAAGCUUUAAAAGAGUAGGAA
rfam:Chryseobacterium soli strain DSM 19298 Contig01, whole genome shotgun sequence.